AACCCAUGAUGUGGGCACCGCCUAAGAAGAUCCUUAAAUCGUUCAUGUACCUCGAAUAAUGUUUCAGACUCUCCUUGUUUAAAUGCUGAGAUCUCCUAUCUGACCUU